UGAUAAAGAGAGGAAUUAACCCCUAUGAAUAGGACUACAGCCUACCACC
rnacentral:tRNA from 1 species